rnacentral:rRNA from 1 species
UCGGGAAUCUUGCACAAUGGGCGAAAGCCUGAUGCAGCAACACCGUGUGAGCGAUGAAGGCCCUAGGGUCGUAAAGCUCUGUUGUUAGGGACGAAGGGCGAAGGGUUAAUAGCCCCUAGCUUGACGGUACCUUUCGAGGAAGCCCCGGCUAACUACGUGCCAGCAGCCGCGGUAAUACGUAGGGGGCGAGCGUUGUCCGGAAUUAUUGGGCGUAAAGAGCGUGUAGGCGGUCUGGUAAGUCUGUCGUGAAAGGCUGGGGCUCAACCCUGGACGUGCGAUGGAUACUGCCAGACUAGAGGAUGGUAGAGGCGAGUGGAAUUCCCAGUGUAGCGGUGAAAUGCGCAGAUAUUGGGAGGAACACCAGUAGCGAAGGCGGCUCGCUGGACCAUACCUGACGCUG